rnacentral:sRNA from 6 species
CGGGUUCUGCCCGGUACGAGCCUUUAUUAUCCCUGAGGCUAUUCAUCAUCCAUAGGGGGCUGUCCCUGUUAGGAUCCUGGUCCGAAGCACAUGGUCCCCACCUGACGUACCGUGCGUCAGUGGAUAACCCGGCACACGGCCAUGGUGGGCCCGCC